AGAUGAGGGGCGUUUUCAACACGGCUUUAAAGACUUAUUAUAUAACCGGUGGGAAGCGUUCCGGGAAAAAUGGCUCAACAACUUGGAUAUAUCCUAGUUGUGCUAAGCAACAAGGGCCAACAGAGUGCGGAUAUUACAUUAUCCGUUAUAUGUUUGAGAUUAUUGAGAG